GGGGAAUAUUGGACAAUGGGCGGAAGCCUGAUCCAGCAACGCCGCGUGAGGGAUGACGGCCUUCGGGUUGUAAACCUCUUUCAGUACCGACGAAGCGAAAGUGACGGUAGGUACAGAAGAAGGACCGGCCAACUACGUGCCAGCAGCCGCGGUAAUACGUAGGGUCCGAGCGUUGUCCGGAAUUAUUGGGCGUAAAGGGCUCGUAGGCGGUUUGUCGCGUCGGGAGUGAAAACACCGGGCUUAACUCGGUGCUUGCUUUCGAUACGGGCAGACUAGAGGUAUGCAGGGGAGAAUGGAAUUCCUGGUGUAGCGGUGAAAUGCGCAGAUAUCAGGAGGAACACCGGUGGCGAAGGCGGUUCUCUGGGCAUUACCUGACGCUGAGGAGCGAAAGUGUGGGGAGCGAACA
rnacentral:rRNA from 1 species